GAUAAGCGCUGAAAGCAUCUAAGCGCGAAGCCAACUUCAAGAUAAGAUUUCCCACCGCAAGGGUAAGACCCCAGAAAGACUAUCUGGUUGAUAGGUCGAAGGGGUAAGUGCAGCAAUGUAUUUAGCUUAUCGAUACUAAUAGGUCGAGGACUUGACCAAU
rnacentral:rRNA from 1 species